GUUCGUCCUAUUUAAAAUGCAUCACAAGAAUUGCAUGAGAAUUGGUAUAUAGACACCACUACGAUCCACAGAUUCAACUUUAUCCUUAUAAUUCAAUAAUCUAUUGUUCAAAGUGUUGUUACAUAGUUUUGAAGGAUAUAUUUACAAAAGGUCUGAAAAUUUUGCCUAUUUUAUAAGAAAAAUUAUUGAUGAACCUAAAAGAUCUAGGUAUUUGGUUUAUUAAUCUGUGUAGUAUUGUCAACUGUAGGAACAUUCAAAUAUAAUCAAAUAUAAUUGAAGAGUCUUUAUAGGCUAAAUUUAGUUUUUUAUUCUUUUUUAUUUGUUUUUUUAGUAGUAGAUUCCUUUGUCUCUAGUUGUUCUGUAAAAAUAUAUUGCUGUCUUGAGUUAUCUUGUUAUUUUGUUUUUCAAUCAGAUGUCGCUUCAUUGUUUUAAAUUCAGGAAUGUUAUUAUGAAUUGUAUUUUUUGUCAAUCUUGUUGUUCUUAUUAUACUAUCUGCCUGGUUGCUCUGAACUUGAAGUUUUUUCUUUUUGAUUAUAUGACGCAAGAUUUGUUUUUUAUUACCUGACCAUUGUAGCUUGUAUGAUGAGACGAUGCAACCCCUUCAGAAGAAAAUAUUUCAGUUUAUUUUGAAUAUAUUAUCUAGAAUCCUUGAAUAAUUAAAUUCAAAAUCCGUUUUGAUUGAAACUUCCAUCAGUAAUCCGCGUGAUUAUUUAGAACAGAGAGAAACUGUCUUUCUGCAUUCGGUGUUGUUUUUCCAUCCACAAAAACAUCAUUAUUGAUUAAUGAGAAAGACAUAAAUAUUAUUCUUCUACGAAAAAUUUGGUGAAACAUGUGAUGAAACAUCAUUCAAGAAGGAGGGUAUGUAUUCUAUAUAUUUUAUUGUCCACCUUCUUUCUUUAUUUAUUGAACCCAUUAUUAACAGUCAUCAUUAAGUAACAGCAUCAGCUUUAGUGGAAAAAUAUUUUGGGAGAAACGGUAAGAGCAGUUUCUCAAUCUAUUCCAGAAGAAUGUCAACCUUCAAGACUGGAGGAUUCUGAAGAAGUACAGUGGGAAGAUAUUCCUGAAGUUAAUACUGGGUGAGUCUUUGACACGUACAAGUAUUUUAACAGUAGAUUCUUGAGGUCAAAAGAUACAAUUUUUUCCCUUGC